CCUACGGGUGGCAGCAGUGGGGAAUAUUGCACAAUGGGCGCAAGCCUGAUGCAGCCAUGCCGCGUGUGUGAAGAAGGCCUUCGGGUUGUAAAGCACUUUCAGCGGGGAGGAAGGCGUUAAGGUUAAUAACCUUGGCGAUUGACGUUACCCGCAGAAGAAGCACCGGCUAACUCCGUGCCAGCAGCCGCGGUAAUACGGAGGGUGCAAGCGUUAAUCGGAAUUACUGGGCGUAAAGCGCACGCAGGCGGUCGGUCAAGUCGGAUGUGAAAUCCCCGGGCUCAACCUGGGAACUGCAUUCGAAACUGGCAGGCUAGAGUCUUGUAGAGGGGGGUAGAAUUCCAGGUGUAGCGGUGAAAUGCGUAGAGAUCUGGAGGAAUACCGGUGGCGAAGACGGCCCCCUGGACAAGGACUGACGCUCAGGUGCGAAAGCGUGGGGAGCAAACAGGAUUAGAUACCCCAGUAGUC
rnacentral:rRNA from 1 species